UACGUAGGGCGCAAGCGUUGUCCGGAAUUAUUGGGCGUAAAGAGCUCGUAGGCGGUUUGUCGCGUCUGCUGUGAAAACCUAAGGCUCAACCUUGGGCUUGCAGUGGGUACGGGCAGACUAGAGUGCGGUAGGGGUGACUGGAAUUCCUGGUGUAGCGGUGGAAUGCGCAGAUAUCAGGAGGAACACCCGUGGCGAAGGCGGCUCUCUGGGACGGUACUGACGCUGAGACGCGAAAGCGUGGGGAGCGAACAGG
rnacentral:rRNA from 1 species